CCGACGAGUGUGGAAAUUGGCAGAGGCAGCCGCAGCCGAGUGGAGCACUUGUUGCUGCUUUUGUGAGUGCAGGAGAAAAGACAACGGAGGAAAUUGGGGCGGCAGAGGGCUGGAGAUCUCAGCUGUCUGGGUUGUUUCUAUUGCUGGAGAGGCAAACUCGCCUGCGGGUUUUUUUAAUUGAGAUUAAAAUACUGGGCAAAUGCUCGAAGGACAGAGGAGCCAUUUCUGUCUCUCAGCUGGAGAAAAGGAGCAGGAGAAAGAACAGCUCAGGAGCUGGAAAAUCUGCUGAUGAGAGCCACUGCUAGCCCAUGCUUGUCCUGCCUUCUGAAAGUGGGGAAUAGCAGCAUGCAGUGUGGGGAGUGUUGGGCUGCAGACCACAACCAGAUACUGGAACACCAGACCUGGACUUCCCAUUCAGGCCACACACUGGCCUGGAGCCAGUAAAGGUGGAACACUGCAAACAUACUUCUACCUUUUCUGUAUUAUUUCCGAGACGGAGAACCUGAGGAAGCCCAGGCAACAC